rnacentral:rRNA from 1 species
GAUGAACGCUGGCGGCGUGCCUAAUACAUGCAAGUCGAGCGAACGGACGAGAAGCUUGCUUUUCUGAUGUUAGCGGCGGACGGGUGAGUAACACGUUGAUAACCUACCUAUAAGACUGGGAUAACUUCGGGAAACCUGAGCUAAUACCGGAUAAUAUUUUGAACCGCAUGGUUCAAAAGUUAAAGACGGUCUUGCUGUCACUUAUAGAUGGAUCCGCGCUGCAUUAGCUAGUUGGUAAGGUAACGGCUUACCAAGGCAACGAUGCAUAGACGACCUGAGAGGGUGAUUGGCCACACUGGAACUGGGACACGGUCCAGACUCCUACGGGAGGCAGCAGACGGGAAUCUGCCGCAAUGGGCGAAAGCCUGACGGAACAGCGCGGCGUGAGUGAUGAAGGUCUUCGGAUCGUAAAACUCUGUUAUUAGGGAAGAACAUAUGUGUAAGUAACUGUGCACAUCGUGACGGUACCUAAUCAGAAAGCCACGGCUAACUACGUG